GACGUAGGGUGCGAGCGUUGUCCGGAUUAUUGGGCGUAAAGAGCUCGUAGGCGGUGUGUCGUCGACGCUGAACUGAACCGAGCUUAACUGUGGGCGUGCGGUCGAUACGGGCAUCACUGGAGUUCGGCAGGGGAGACUGGAAUUCCUGGUGUAGCGGUGAAAUGCGCAGAUAUCAGGAGGAACACCGGUGGCGAAGGCGGGUCUCUGGGCCGAUACUGACGCUGAGGAGCGAAAGCGUGGGGGAGCAAACAGG
rnacentral:rRNA from 1 species